GAAAUGCGAUAAGUAAUGUGAAUUGCAGAAUUCCGUGAAUCAUCGAAUCUUUGAACGCACAUUGCGCCCCCUGGCAUUCCGGGGGGCAUGCCUGUCCGAGCGUCAUUUCUGCCCUCAAGCACGGCUUGUGUGUUGGGUGUGGUCCCCCCGGGGACCUACCCGAAAGGCAGCGGCGACGUCCGUCUGGUCCUCGAGCGUAUGGGGCUCUGUCACUCGCUCGGGAAGGACCUGCGGGGGUUGGUCACCACCAUAUUUCACCACGGUUGACCUCGGAUCAGGUAGGAGUUACCCGCUGAACUUAAGC
rnacentral:misc_RNA from 1 species